CGCUGGCGGCGUGCCUAAUACAUGCAAGUCGAACGCACUCUCGUUUAGAUUGAAGGAGCUUGCUCCUGAUUGAUAAACAUUUGAGUGAGUGGCGGACGGGUGAGUAACACGUGGGUAACCUGCCCUAAAGUGGGGGAUAACAUUUGGAAACAGAUGCUAAUACCGCAUAAAACCUAACACCGCAUGGUGUAGGGUUGAAAGAUGGUUUCGGCUAUCACUUUAGGAUGGACCCGCGGUGCAUUAGUUAGUUGGUGAGGUAAAGGCUCACCAAGACCGUGAUGCAUAGCCGACCUGAGAGGGUAAUCGACCACACUGGGACUGAGACACGGCCCAGACUCCUACGGGAGGCAGCAGUAGGGAAUCUUCCACAAUGGACGAAAGUCUGAUGGAGCAACGCCGCGUGAGUGAAGAAGGUUUUCGGAUCGUAAAACUCUGUUGUUGGAGAAGAAUGUAUCUGAUAGUAACUGAUCAGGUAGUGACGGUAUCCAACCAGAAAGCCACGGCUAACUACGUG
rnacentral:rRNA from 1 species